rnacentral:rRNA from 1 species
GACGAACGCUGGCGGCGUGCUUAACACAUGCAAGUCGAACGGCAAGGCCCUGCUUUUUUGGGGUGCUCGAGUGGCGAACGGGUGAGUAACACGUGAGUAACCUGCCCUUGACUUUGGGGUAACUUCAGGAAACUGGGGCUACUACCGGAUCGGAGAUCCUGCUGCAUGGUGGGCGUUGGAAAGUUUCGGCGGUUGGGGAUGGACUCGCGGCUGAUCAGCUUGUUGGUGGGGUAGUGGCUUACCAAGGGUUUGACGGGUAGCCGGCAUGAGAGGGUGACCGGCCACAUUGGGACUGAGAGACGGCCCAGAGUCCUACGGGAGGCAGCAGUGGGGAAUAUUGCACAAUGGGAGGAAGCCUGAUGCAGCAACGCCGCGUGCGGGAUGCCGGCCUGCGGGGUGUAAACCGCUUUCGCCUGUGACGAAGCGUGAGUGACGGUAAUGGGUAAAGAAGCACCGGCUAACUACGUG